rfam:Physcomitrella patens subsp. patens PHYPAscaffold_97 genomic scaffold, whole genome shotgun sequence.
UAAGAGGCUUUUAUAAAAGCCAUAUUUAGGUAACUUAAAUUGUAAU